GACGAACGCUGGCGGCGUGCUUAACACAUGCAAGUCGAACGGAAAGGCCCUGCGUUUGUGGGGUGCUCGAGUGGCGAACGGGUGAGUAACACGUGAGUAACCUGCCCUUGUCUUUCGGAUAACUUCAGGAAACUGGGGCUAAUAUCGGAUAGGAUCUCCUGCUCCAUGGUGGGGGUUGGAAAGUUUCGGCGGUCGGGGAUGGACUGGCGGCUUAUGAGCUUGUUGGUGGGGUAGUGGCUGACCAAGGCUUAGACGGGUAGCCGGCCUGGGAGGGUGACCGGGGACAUGGGGACUAAGGGAGGGAGCAGACGCGAACGGGGGGCAGCAGUGGGGAGUAUUGCACAAUGGGCGGGAGCGUGAUACGGAGACGCCGCGUGCGGGAUGACGGCCUUCGGGUUAUGAACAGCUUUCGCCUGAGACGAAGCGUGAGUGACGGUAAUGAAUAAAGAAGCACCGGCUAACUACGUG
rnacentral:rRNA from 1 species